AUACUUCACAUGGCAAGGAGAUACCAUGAUCACCAAGGUGAUUUCCCCAGGACCCAUCCAUUGAAGUCUGGAUGUAUUCAUUCCAGGGAUUUCUCCCAAAUGUAGAAAACUCAACUGCAUAAUUCUGGAUGUGGAGGACUACAAUUUAUACUCUUCUC
ensembl:snRNA U1 U1 spliceosomal RNA